UUUUUCUCUUUCACAGAUUUAUUUAAUUGCCCAACUACCACUGAUGAAGAUAUAUUGGAGUGACUGCUGAAAUUGCCUUUUUGUUUUUAACCAGAGGACAGUCCAUUUGUUUCACUUCUUUUUGCUUUCUUUACUGCUAUGAGCUUUACUGAACGGCUGAAAAACUUGGAAAAUAAAAUGGACAUGCUGUAGUCUUGAACAUAAUUUUUUUAAGGAAAACUUAAAGUGCCAGAGUGAAAGCCAGAAUGGCAUCCAGAGAGAGGCUCUUUGAACUUUGGAUGCUUUAUUGUACAAAGAAGAUCCAGAUUACCUGAAGCUGUGGUUGGACACUUUUGUUUCUAGCUAUGAACAAUUUUUAGACGUUGACUUUGAAAAGCUGCCUACCAGGUAGAUGAUAUGCCUCCAGGAAUAUCUCUGCUUCCUGAUAAUAUUCUGCAGGUUCUGAGGAUCCAGCUUCUACAGUGUGUUCAGAAAAUGGCAGAUGGGUUAGAGGAACAACAGCAAGCCUUGUCAAUUUUGCUUGUCAAGUUCUUCAUUAUUCUUUGCAGAAUCUAUCAAAUGUGGAAGAAAUUGGGACUUGCUCGUACAUUAAUUAUGUCAUCACCAUGACAACACUCUAUAUUCAGCAAGUAGGUGUG
rnacentral:lncRNA from 1 species